CACACCCAGAUGCCAACGCUGAGGUGCUGUGUGUCUACUAUAAGGCGGAAGACACCAACAAAAAUGAUUUAAAUAUAAGCAUUUUCUUCUUUGUCUUCAUGUCUCCAAUAUUUAACCUAAGAAAAUAAACAGAAAGACCUUGGAAACCAUACCCAAUGGGGAUAUUUGCAAUGUCAUCAUCAGAUGUUUUAACAUGGUCCCAUUCUGAGCAUCAUCUUUAAAACAACAUAGACAAACUCCAAAGGUAACGAAGACUGUGUGAGAGGCAUCCCGAGAGCAGGGAUAAGGUAUGCCUUCAAGAUACAUGUACCAUGUGAAAUUGAUUGUACGUGCUACAAUCCACAUUUUAGAAUUGAAGAAAUAUUAACAGUCAAUGAUCUAGGCAGCAUAAACUAUACCUUCUUCUGCAGAAUACACCACUGUGGUGGGACUGAAAGGGCCUUCUCCUUUGUUGUUGAAGACACCUACUUUAACCUCAAAGGGAGAGAAGGGGUGCACGCUCUCAUUCCUGAACACGUAUCUAGAGGCGUCAGCUGAGGCCAGCACUGUCAGCAUCCAGAUCAUUUUACCAUAGGGCCGGAAGGCCACCACAUAACCAAAGCCUCGACCAUUCUGUAAUUCCUCAGGGACCGUCUGGGAAAGAAGGGAGGUGGUCUUCAGAAAUCAUAGUAGUUUCACUCAAACGCAAAACUCGUUUUUGUUUCCCUUGUAACAUUCUUGUCUACAUCCUGCUCCACCCAUCUUAUUUGGGGUUUUCUUAACAGUCUUUUAAAUUUAGGGCUUGCGGUCAGUCUAUCUUAAACAGUUAUAAUGUACUGGACAGGGUUGAAAACAUAAUGAGGAUCUGCAGUCCAGAGCUUGCUCUUUGAUGGGGCAGACCCAGCUCUGAAAUGGUUGGAAAUGAUUGUAAAAAAAAAACACUGGACAUCGGUCUCCUGAAAAACCACAUUUCCAACACGUAUCCUCUAAUACUAAUCUUCUUCCAUUGCCAAAUAGACAAAAGAUCU
rnacentral:lncRNA from 1 species